UAGGUGGGGUGGUGGAGGUGGUUUGUUAGGGGGGAGAGAAUACAACUAUGUCAGUUUGAGAUUCUAUCAAUUGUUAUUUUUAUUUUAAUGAUCCACUGUGAUUGGCUGAGAGGAUUUGGUCAGUCAAUUGGAUUCCGUGGAGCAUGUGCAGAAGACAGCCUGAACCCAGUGGAUCCUUAAAACACACAGUGGCUGGAAGGAUCAGAGAAGCCUCGACCAACAUUAUGUAUCAAGGUCUUUUUCUUUCCACCAAAUGUCAGGUAGUAAGGCUCGUCCAAUAGGAAUCCAGCUCUGUGCGCAUGCAGGCCUGAACGUUCGGGGAACGGCGCCCACUAAAUUGGCUGAGGAAGAAAAGUAAGGCCUCCUGGAACUUCUUGGUGAGCUUCUCGAUGACGCUGUAGCUCUCCACGUAGUCCACGUGGUCGUCCAGGGGCUCGCUGGCCAUCUGCCUCAGGGUGUUCAUGUCCACGCGGCCCACAGCCGAUGGAGAACAGCUCGAUGCCGGCGUCGCGGCGCGCUGGGCCCCCUCCUUCACGUUGUCCUGGGGCCGCCCGUACCGUCACGAUGAUGGCCACCUGCCAACAGAGGGUCACAGAGGGUCAGAGUGUUUUUCAUAUCAGCAUGUCAAAGUCACUAUUGGCAAUAAAAGGAUUGAAUUGCAAGCCUGACAAGAAACUGACCGUGACACUGAAAACGUGAAUAGAAAUAACAUUUUAUAAUAUCUGCCACUGUGCUCAGGUUGUCAUGCCUAUUUAUUCCCUCUGCUCCCAUCACAUCCCUGCUGUAUCUUCACAAAUGUUUAUUGUACUGAACUUUAGGAUUAGUGUUUUUUUAGACUUGUUUCUCACUUUUAUUUUAGAGCGGAAAGUUUUGUACUGCAUCUGUUCAUACUUCAGUUAAAGACAUUUUGAUUA